CGUUGUCAAGAAAUAAAAGUUCAAGUCAGAACCAAAAUAUCACAGACGAUUCUUCGAAUUCUGCAGAAACUAAGUCCCACAACUAUGAACCUAAAAGAAGAAAACAAUCCACCCUUGAAAGUUGCUUAGAGAGAAGUUUAAGUUUUGAAGAAGGCGGACAGAAACAUAAUGAAAUUACUCAGGCAUUAAUUUAUAUGAUAUGUAAGGACAAUUUCCCACGAUUAUGUGU